rnacentral:rRNA from 1 species
GUGAAAUUCCGUCGGAAUCUGGGAGGACCAUCUCCUAAGGCUAAAUACUCUCUAGUGACCGAUAGUGAACCAGUACCGUGAGGGAAAGGUGAAAAGCACCCCGGAAGGGGAGUGAAAUAGAACCUGAAACCGUGUGCUUACAAGUAGUCAGAGCCCGUUAAUGGGUGAUGGCGUGCCUUUUGUAGAAUGAACCGGCGAGUUACGAUUUGAUGCAAGGUUAAGCAGUAAAUGUGGAGCCGUAGCGAAAGCGAGUCUGAAUAGGGCGUUUAGUAUUUGGUCGUAGACCCGAAACCAGGUGAUCUACCCUUGGUCAGGUUGAAGUUCAGGUAACACUGAAUGGAGGACCGAACCGACUUACGUUGAAAAGUGAGCGGAUGAACUGAGGGUAGCGGAGAAAUUCCAAUCGAACCUGGAGAUAGCUGGUUCUCUCCGAAAUAGCUUUAGGGCUAGCCUCAAGUGAUGAUUAUUGGAGGUAGAGCACUGUUUGGACGAGGGGCCCCUCUCGGGUUACCGAAUUCAGACAAACUCCGAAUGCCAAUUAAUUUAACUUGGGAGUCAGAACAUGGGUGAUAAGGUCCAUGUUCGAAAGGGAAACAGCCCAGACCACCAGCUAAGGUCCCAAAAUAUAUGUUAAGUGGAAAAGGAUGUGGCGUUGCCCAGACAACUAGGAUGUUGGCUUAGAAGCAGCCAUCAUUUAAAGAGUGCGUAAUAGCUCACUAGUCGAGUGACACUGCGCCGAAAAUGUACCGGGGCUAAACAUAUUACCGAAGCUGUGGAUUGUCCUUUGGACAAUGGUAGGAGAGCGUUCUAAGGGCGUUGAAGCAUGAUCGUAAGGACAUGUGGAGCGCUUAGAAGUGAGAAUGCCGGUGUGAGUAGCGAAAGAUGGGUGAGAAUCCCGUCCACCGAUUGACUAAGGUUUCCAGAGGAAGGCUCGUCCGCUCUGGGUUAGUCGGGUCCUAAGCUGAGGCCGACAGGCGUAGGCGAUGGAUAACAGGUUGAUAUUCCUGUACCACCUAUAAUCGUUUUAAUCGAUGGGGGGACGCAGUAGGAUAGGCGAAGCGUGCGAUUGGAUUGCACGUCUAAGCAGUAAGGCUGAGUAUUAGGCAAAUCCGGUACUCGUUAAGGCUGAGCUGUGAUGGGGAGAAGACAUUGUGUCUUCGAGUCGUUGAUUUCACACUGCCGAGAAAAGCCUCUAGAUAGAAAAUAGGUGCCCGUACCGCAAACCGACACAGGUAGUCAAGAUGAGAAUUCUAAGGUGAGCGAGCGAACUCUCGUUAAGGAACUCGGCAAAAUGACCCCGUAACUUCGGGAGAAGGGGUGCUCUUUAGGGUUAACGCCCAGAAGAGCCGCAGUGAAUAGGCCCAAGCGACUGUUUAUCAAAAACACAGGUCUCUGCUAAACCGUAAGGUGAUGUAUAGGGGCUGACGCCUGCCCGGUGCUGGAAGGUUAAGAGGAGUGGUUAGCUUCUGCGAAGCUACGAAUCGAAGCCCCAGUAAACGGCGGCCGUAACUAUAACGGUCCUAAGGUAGCGA